rnacentral:rRNA from 1 species
UACGUAGGGUGCAAGCGUUAAUCGGAAUUACUGGGCGUAAAGCGCGUGUAGGCGGCUUUGCAAGUCGGGUGUGAAAGCCCUCAGCUUAACUGAGGAAGUGCGCCCGAAACUGCAGAGCUUGAGUACCGGAGAGGAUGGCGGAAUUCCCCAAGUAGAGGUGAAAUUCGUAGAUAUGGGGAGGAACACCGGUGGCGAAGGCGGCCAUCUGGACGGAUACUGACGCUGAGACGCGAAAGCGUGGGUAGCAAACAGG